rnacentral:rRNA from 1 species
AUUAGAUACCCUAUUAUUUUUAUUGUAAAAUUGUAAGUCAGAGUAUUAAUAGUUAUGAUCUUGAAACUUAAAGAAUUUGGCGGUAUUAUAGUCUAUUUAGAGGAAUUUGUUAUGUAAUUGAUAAUCCCCGUUGAACCUUACUUAUAUUAUUUCUUGUAUAUCGCUGUUUGAGAAUAUACUUUUAGGUUAUUUUCUGGAUAUCAUAUUAAUUAAUAUUUCAAGUCAAGGUGCAGUUAUGUAUAAGUUGAAUAAUGAAUUACAAUAAAUUUUAUUUAUUAUGAAUAGUUAUUGAAAUAUAAUUUGAAGGUGGAUUUAAUUGUAAUUUUAUAAAGAUUAUUAAAAUGAUUUAUAGCUCUAUAAUAUGUACACAUCGCCCG